rnacentral:lncRNA from 1 species
UGGAGACUCACGUCAGUGCAGGCUGCAGCGAUGACUCUCAAACUGUGAACAAUGCUCCCCAGUGUGUGCACGGGAGGGCCAGCAUAUGGAGACCUCGCGGAGAGCCAAACGCGGGCUCUCUGCACUUCCUUCAGUUUUGUUUAAAUACAGGAUCCGGUUUGCCUUUGUCACCCGCUGUAGCACCACCAGGCUUCAUUCACUGUGAAGCCUUGCCAGAUCUCUGUAAUAAAUUACCUGGGAGGCCAAGGCGGGAAAAGAGGAAAGAACAAGCAGACUGACCAUCAAGGCUGGACAUCCCUUUCAGUUCUUUUGAGAACAGACUAGUUGGCUAGAUGUGAAGAAAACAAGCUUUGGAGUAAUCUUCCCUCUGCACAGCCUGUGAUAUUGGGAUCCAGUGAGUGACGGUGAGAGGUGGAGAUGUAUGAACGAGACCUGAGACGUUGGACCUGAACAUCACAGCAAUCACUUGCAGGGCUAAGAUUCAGGGCCAGCUGUCCAUGGAUUCUCCCGAGUUGGAUCGUCUUUCACACACCUGCUUCCUGAGGUUACAUCUCUUUUCCAGCCUAGGAGCAACCAAUAAAGAGCAGAGAGCAAAGAAAAGCAGACACACAAAUCAUCUCUAGACUAUGUCAAGGGUAUCCCCAAAAUGGGAAAGAAAUUCAUGAAUGUACACACAAAAUGUCACGU